AAAGACCUUAUGCUUUUGGAGCGGCCGAUGUCUGAUUAGCUAGUUGGUGAGGUAAAUGCUUACCAAGGCGACGAUCAGUAGUUGGUCUGAGAGGACGACCAGCCACACUGGGACUGAGACACGGCCCAGACUCCUACGGGAGGCAGCAGUGGGGAAUUUUGGACAAUGGGCGCAAGCCUGAUCCAGCAAUGCCGUGUGAGUGAAGAAGGCCUUCGGGUUGUAAAGCUCUUUCAGUCGAGAAGAAAAGGUUGUGACUAAUACUCACAAUCCAUGACGGUAUCGACAGAAGAAGCACCGGCUAACUACGUGCCAGCAGCCGCGGUAAUACGUAGGGUGCGAGCGUUAAUCGGAAUUACUGGGCGUAAAGGGUGCGCAGGCGGUUCUGUAAGUCAGAUGUGAAAUCCCCGGGCUUAACCUGGGAAUU
rnacentral:rRNA from 1 species